GAUGAACGCUGGCGGCGUGCCUAAUACAUGCAAGUCGAGCGAACGGCCGAGAAGCUUGCUUCUCUGAUGUUAGCGGCGGACGGGUGAGUAACACGUGGAUAACCUACCUAUAAGACUGGGAUAACUUCGGGAAACCGGAGCUAAUACCGGAUAAUAUUAUGAACCGCAUGGUUCCAAAGUGAAAGACGGUCUUUCUGUCACUUAUAGAUUGAUCCGCGCUGCAUUAGCUAGUUGGUAAGGUAACGGCUUACCAAGGCAACGAUGCAUAGCCGACCUGAGAGGGUGAUCGGCCACACUGGAACUGAGACACGGUCCAGACUCCUACGGGAGGCAGCAGUAGGGAAUCUUCCGCAAUGGGCGAAAGCCUGACGGAGCAACGCCGCGUGAGUGAUGAAGGUAUUCGGAUCGUAAAACUCUGUUAUUAGGGAAGAACAUAUGUGUAAGUAACUGUGCACAUCUUGACGGUACCUAAACAGAAAGCCACGGCUAACUACGUG
rnacentral:rRNA from 1 species